CCUUGGUUUUACCAUAUUGCAAGCAGAUCAAUAUGGUCACAUGAUCGAAACCGAAACCAAAACUAACCUACUUCUAGUGAAACCAUACUAAUCAUUCUGCAUCAAUGUUCUCUUAUGAAAGUACUUUCCCGAUUCUACUUUCGUUUCUCAGAACAGAUAUAAGCUUUAUCAAAGGAAAGUACUAGACAUCUUCAAAACACAAUGUCGCAAAAUCAGAGUGAAAAUGAGGCCGCUAAAGUUCUGCCAGAUUUGGGUUCAGAAUACAAAUACCACGCCUUCAUUGCAUAUGCGCAUGAAGAUAAAGAGCUCGCAGAAAAAAUUGCAGAAAUACUGGAACCUUAUGGUGCAAAACUCAUGUUUGCAGACAAGGAGUUUCAGCCAGGGAAAACAAUUGUCGGGAAUAUUGAAGAAAAGAUCCACCAAUCACGUCGCUUGCUUGUAAUUUGCUCCAAAAAGUUCACGGAGAGCAACUGGGCCCAAUAUGAGGCAAUUCAAGGCAUACAGAAAAUGAUGACAUUGGGCAGUCAGUUUGUCCAGAUAGUGAAGCACAACAUCCAACACUCUGACAUGCCAAAAUACCUGAACUGGUUGACCUACAUAGAGUCAGAUGCUGAACCAGAAGAAUUCAAAAAGAAAAUCAUAUGGGCAUUAUCAGGUGAAACAGCUGUAUUCGCAGGAGUAGAAAGCUACAAGCUGCUGGGCAAUGGUGUGGGGAAGGGCCUUGCUUACUCCUAUUUCUUCAGCUACUUGAGUGUCAUCUUACCAGGACUUGCUGAUAAGGUUGAAAAGCACCUGAAGAAACCAGGAUAUGAAAAUGUCAAAAUGCCGAAGAAAUUUUUCUUGUUGGUCCCUGAAACGGCAGAUUUGCCACAUUCGAUUGUCAAGCAUGAUAAACAAAUUGUAAUCCAAGACAAAGAGAAUGAUCAGUUCUCACAGAUGGUCCAGAGAGGAGGUUCUGAAAGACCUUACAAAAAUACAAUUCUUACCAUAAUGGAUGGGCCACAGAAAUACCAAGUUCUGGCCGAAUAUGCCACAGUGCUGCUCCCUAUCCAUGAGAUGUCACAGACAGACAUGAUUACCAUCACCGAUCGUGACAAAUUAUUCCAAGUGCAGGAGUUUGUCAGGGAACUUGGAACUAUAUUGUUACAUCCCAAAUAUGCCCGCCUUGGUGGAAUGGUGGAAAUUGUGCCAUUGAACGAGGAGGAAAAUCGGGAAGGAAACUUGGCUGGUGUUCUCUUGGAGAAAAUUAAGGCCUCUGUACUUGAAGAUGGAGUAACACAAAUGAGUGUGGAUGAUUGAGCAUUUCAGAAAAAUUCAUGAACAUUUCAGAAAAAUUCAUGACAUUUCAGAAAAAUUCAUGAACAUUUCAGAAAAAUUCAUGAACAUUUCAGAAAAAUUAAUCAUGAAAUACCAAUCACUGGCAGAAUAUGUGUCACUGCAAGGUGUAUAUAUUUCUUAAAUUUCUUUUUUAAUGAAUUCAUUAAUUUAAUUUAAAAUCAUUGAUUUAU
rnacentral:misc_RNA from 1 species